AGAGUUUGAUCAUGGCUCAGGAUGAACGCUGGCGGCGUGCCUAACACAUGCAAGUCGAACGGAGCACUGAGACUUCGGUUUUUGUGCUUAGUGGCGGACAGGUGAGUAACGCGUGAGCAAUCUGCCUUUCAGAGGGGGAUAACGACUGGAAACGGUCGCUAAUACCGCAUAACGUAUUUUGCAGGCAUCUGCGAGAUACCAAAGGAGCAAUCCGCUGAAAGAUGAGCUCGCGUCUGAUUAGAUAGUUGGUGAGGUAACGGCCCACCAAGUCGACGAUCAGUAGCCGGACUGAGAGGUUGAACGGCCACAUUGGGACUGAGACACGGCCCAGACUCCUACGGGAGGCAGCAGUGGGGAAUAUUGCGCAAUGGGGGAAACCCUGACGCAGCAACGCCGCGUGAUCGAAGAAGGUCUUCGGAUUGUAAAGAUCUUUUAUCAGGGACGAAGAAAGUGACGGUACCUGAUGAAUAAGCUCCGGCUAACUACGUGCCAGCAGCCGCGGUAAUACGUAGGGAGCGAGCGUUAUCCGGAUUUACUGGGUGUAAAGGGCGAGUAGGCGGGCUGGUAAGUUGGAAGUGAAAUGUCGGGGCUUAACCCCGGAACUGCUUUCAAAACUGCUGGUCUUGAGUGAUGGAGAGGCAGGCGGAAUUCCUAGUGUAGCGGUGAAAUGCGUAGAUAUUAGGAGGAACACCAGUGGCGAAGGCGGCCUGCUGGACAUUAACUGACGCUGAGGGGCGAAAGCGUGGGGAGCAAACAGGAUUAGAUACCCUGGUAGUCC
rnacentral:rRNA from 1 species